GACGAACGCUGGCGGCGUGCUUAACACAUGCAAGUCGAACGGAAAGACCCUGCUUUUGUGGGGUGCUCGAGUGGCGAACGGGUGAGUAACACGUGAGUAACCUGCCCUUGACUUUGGGAUAACUUCAGGAAACUGGGGCUAAUACCGGAUAGGAGCUCCUGCUGCAUGGUGGGGGUUGGAAAGUUUCGGCGGUUGGGGAUGGACUCGCGGCUUAUCAGCUUGUUGGUGGGGUAGUGGCUUACCAAGGCUUUGACGGGUAGCCGGACUGAGAGGGUGACCGGCGAAAUUGGGAAGGAGAUACGGCCCAGACUGCUACGGGAGGCAGCAGUGGGGAAUAUUGCACAAUGGGCGGAAGCCUGAUGCAGCAACGCCGUGUGCGGGAUGACGGCCUUCGGGUUGUAAACCGCUUUCGCCUGUGACGAAGCGUGAGUGACGGUAAUGGGUAAAGAAGCACCGGCUAACUACGUG
rnacentral:rRNA from 1 species